rnacentral:rRNA from 1 species
UACGAAGGGGGCUAGCGUUGUUCGGAAUUACUGGGCGUAAAGCGUAUGCAGGCGGAUCUUUAAGUCGGGGGUGAAAUCCUGAGGCUCAACCUCAGAACUGCCUUCGAUACUGGAGAUCUUGAGUCCGGGAGAGGUGAGUGGAACUGCGAGUGUAGAGGUGAAAUUCGUAGAUAUUCGCAAGAACACCAGUGGCGAAGGCGGCUCACUGGCCCGGUACUGACGCUGAGGUGCGAAAGCGUGGGGAGCAAACAGG